CCCUCUCCUGAUGAAAACCAGCCCAGCUCUGACUCUGCAGCUCUAGGAGAGGAGCCCAGCCCUGGGAUUCCCAGAUGUUUUCAUUUGUGAUCAGCACUGAACACAGAAGACUCAUCAUGGAGUUCGGCCUGAGCUGGGUUUUCCUUGUUGCUAUUUUAAAAGGUGUCCAGGGUGAGGUGCAGCUGGUGGAGUCUGGGGGCGGCUUGGCAAAGCCUGGGGGGUCCCUGAGACUCUCCUGCGCAGCCUCCGGAUUCACCUUCAGUAGCUACUACAUGAGCUGGGUCCGCCAGGCUCCAGGGAAGGGGCUGGAGUGGGUCUCAGCUAUUAAUAGUGGUGGGGGUAGCACAUGGUACGCAGACUCCGUGAAAGGCAGAUUCACCAUCUCCAGAGACAAUUCCAAGAACAUGCUGUAUCUUCAAAUGGACAGCCUGAGAGCCGAGGACACGGCUGUGUAUUACUGUGCGAAAGACACAGUGAGGGGAAGUCGGUACGAUCCUUACCGAGGAGAUGAGAAGUUCCCACCCAUGGUGGCCACGAUCAGAGUCCUGAGGAAGCUCAGGCUUCCCGGUGAGUCUUCUCCAGUCAGACUCAGGACAGGAGCCUGA